UGAGUAUGCAUAGGAAUCUGCCCGAUAGUGGGGGAUAACCUGGGGAAACCCAGGCUAAUACCGCAUACGUCCUACGGGAGAAAGCAGGGGCUCUUCGGACCUUGCGCUAUCGGAUGAGCCUAUGUCGGAUUAUCUGGUUGGUGAGGUAAUGGCUCACCAAGGUGACGAUCCGUAGCUGGACUGAGAGGAUGAUCAGCCACAUCGGGACUGAGACACGGCCCGAACUCCUACGGGAGGCAGCAGUGGGGAAUAUUGGACAAUGAGCGCAAGCCUGAUCC
rnacentral:rRNA from 1 species